ACAAGCGGUGGAUGAUGUGGAUUAAUUCGAUGCAACGCGAAGAACCUUACCUACCCUUGACAUGUCCGGAACUUGCCAGAGAUGGCUGGUGCCGAAAGGGAAUCGGAACACAGGUGCUGCAUGGCUGUCGUCAGCUCGUGUCGUGAGAUGUUGGGUUAAGUCCCGCAACGAGCGCAACCCUUAUCAUUAGUUGCUACGCAAAGGCACUCUAAUGAGACUGCCGGUGACAAACCGGAGGAAGGUGGGGAUGACGUCAAGUCCUCAUGGCCCUUAUGGGUAGGGCUUCACACGUCAUACAAUGGUCGGUACAGAGGGUUGCCAAGCCGCGAGGCGGAGCCAAUCCCACAAAGCCGAUCGUAGUCCGGAUUGUUCUCUGCAACUCGAGAGCAUGAAGUCGGAAUCGCUAGUAAUCGCAGGUCAGCAUACUGCGGUGAAUACGUUCCCGGGUCUU
rnacentral:rRNA from 1 species